CAACUUUCAUCUGCCAGGGACGAUUUUGUAAAGUUAAGAAGCGAACUUAAUGUCCAGGAUUCAGACUUGGACGACUCGAUAAUGCAGUGGAAAGAAGAAGUUCAACAAUUUGCGAGAGAACAACAAAUUGGAGUUUCUUCGUUGAAAGGUGC